rnacentral:misc_RNA from 1 species
UAGUCAUGGGAAGGGUUAUCCGUAUAAUUUAUAAUCGGUAGUAGCCCGGGUUCGGGCAUUACAAAGGACUGCCAGUAAAGGGCCAAGCAGGGGCUUCAUUUAGUAUCCCAAAAAGCAGGGAAGAAGUUUAUUCGUGAAAAGAUGGGACGGGAGUUGACCGAAUCAAAUACGAAACAACAUAUUUGGAGAUUAUUAGCGCUUUGAAACUGAACUUCUACGCAGGGAUCUGAUUUGACCGGUCUAGAAAAGGUCAGUGCUGAACAAAGCUCCUAAGGUCCCCAUUCGGGGAUUUCCCCGUAAAAGCUAAGUCCUUACUUUACACAGAGUGAAGCUUCCGGCA